rnacentral:lncRNA from 1 species
CGAGGAGCUCCGAGAUGGGAGUGGUGCUUAGCCAUUCUGACUUCAGUAGGACCAGAGAUGAUUGGGUGGGAUCUGUCUCCUCUGCUUCGAUGGAAAGUCUGAUGGGGCAGAGCAGCCAGCCAGUGGCUGUAAGACAACCUGGAAAGGUGUCCUCAAUGAACUCACACUUUAGAGAACCAAGCUGCAGCCCAGUGACUCUUGAUCUACAUCUGCCUUGACUCACAAUGCCCCAGCCUUCAUCCAACAGCUGGUAGAAGCAGACACCCACAGCUAAACACUGAACUGAACUGGAAUCCAGUUGCCGAGAAGGACGAGUGAUGAGCAAAGAGGUCCACACCAGGCUGGUGAAACCCACAGAAACAGCUGACCUGAAUAACGGGGAGCUCUUGCUCCCCAGACUGAUAGCUGGGAAACCAGCAUUGGACUGAUCCAGACCCCCUGAAUGUGGGUGUCAGUGAGGAGACCUUGGAAAUCUAUUGUAUUGGAUCAGUACUUAUCCCUAGCAUAGGAAUGGACUUUGGGAGCCCAUCCCACAUGGAGGGAUACUCCCUGAGCCUAGACACAAGGGUGUUAGCCUAGGCCCUAUCCCAAAGAAUAAGACAGACUUUGAAGACCCCCCUAUGGAAGGCCUCACCCUCCCUUGGGAGAAGAAAGAGUAUGGGAUAGGUAGGGUGUUAGUUGGGGGGGGGCAGGGGAGGAGGGGAAGGAAAGGGACCUGGGAUUGACAUGUAAAAUAAUUUUCUUUGUAAUUAAAAUAAAAAAAUAAAAAGAUCUCUCUCCCUUUCCUAUCAAUUGUGAACUGUGUAUAAAUCCUCAGGGAGGGAUGGGAUCCCAUAAGUCCUGACCUCAUGACAGGGUAUCAGUGGGCUCAGUCUUGUCCAGCUGAUGACGUGUCGUGUCAGUUCAAGUGUACAACAGCC